GGCAGUGUAGCAUAAUGGGUAAUGUUCUGGUCUUGUAACCUGAAGGUCGCAGGUUUGAAUCCCAGGUACACUGCCG
rnacentral:tRNA from 1 species